CUUAGAGAAAUCAAGUAAACAUGAUAAUACAUCAUAUUAAAACAAAUCAGUAAUUUCCCAAUCAAUCAUCAAAUCUUAGACUGUUAUCACUGAUAUAGUGCGUGUGUGCUCCACAACAAUGUUAACUGAUAUAAAAUCAAAUUUAAGACAUAAUAGAUAUCUUUGAAGGCAUCAUACAGUGCAAAUUCACAAAAUUCACGAACAAGCUAUAUCCAACUAAAGUCA
rnacentral:lncRNA from 1 species